UCUUCCCCACGGGCUGCAGGGGAAUCCCUGCUCCGGCGCCUGGAGCACCUCCUCCCCCUCCUUCUGCACUGACCUGGGGUCUGCGGGGCUGGUUCUCACACAUCUUCUUACUCCUCUCUCCGGCGACAGUUUCUGUCUGUCCCAUCCUU